GCAAGUCACCUAGUAAAAGCCUUGGUAAUUUCCGGCAAGACUCGGAAAUUUACCUAACUAGGUUGCAGACCAAGGAUUAAUUUCCUACGUUGUUUUGGUCAUGAUACCUGGGAGUGAACUCCAGCUCCCAGCUCUAUCGUCAACCAUUAAGGUGAAGGCAAAAUGUGUGGUUGACACGACAAGCCAUUACAACAUGGUCGAGGAAAACAUUAC
rfam:Lyngbya majuscula 3L genomic scaffold scf52036, whole genome shotgun sequence.